GCUUGAUUGCGGCAGCCAUUUUUAGGUCUCUGGCCACCUAUAUAAACAGGGCAGUUCACUUCAGGCAGGCCAGGUAGUAACAUUGUGUGGCUGCAAGGCUGAAUGCAACAUCCUGGAGGUGGUUUUGUCCUUUCAGCAUUGAAGGGGACCUCAUCUGUCUUCACAAUACAAAUGCCUCAACAUCUCAGACAUCUCCACUGGCAUCUGCACAGGAACUGAAAGGAAGAAUUGGAAGGAAUAGAUGUCCUUCAGCAUAUGUGGACCCAUCGGGAUUCAGGCCUACUUGUGUAAAUAAAGACUGAAGAUCAUACAAUGCAGCCUUACUUAU